GAAGAGAUUGUUUUGCAAAUGCCAUUCGUUUUCCAAGCUAUAAAUAGGAGAAUUCGACCAUAUCUUGCAACGACUUGAGUUGGCUUUGACGUGUAUAGGCUCAUAUCUCAAAGCUAGGGUAAGCUCAAAGCACUCCUUCACUACCAAUAUGGUUGUUCUAAUGAGUGCCAGCAAGAAGAAGGUAUCAAUUGGUUGCUCCAAGUUUUUGGCUACGGAAGCUAAGUUGGGAUCGACUAUAUGUAUCUAUAGAGGAUGUGAAGGCGAUGACGAUGACGAUGAUGAUGAUGCUUCAAAGGUGGCACCAGCUGCAUGAUAUUGUAAUGGUAUUUCCUACAACAACACAUAGUAAUACAUAUAGCUAGGUUCCCAUGUUUCUUUGCUGCAGAUGUUGCUCUAAAGCCAAUUAACAA
rnacentral:lncRNA from 1 species